GUAUUUUUGAAGGCACUAACUCCGCCAUGGUUCGUUGGACAAAUGCAUUUCUGUAGGGUUUUUGGAUAAACGCAGAAAAUAAGAUCUGUGCCUCAACACAAUCCUGUCUCGGAGUUCUACAAACGAUUCCUUCGACCUCAUGGCUUGGUUUUUGCUCUGACAUGCACUGUCAACUGUGGGACCUUAUAUAUACAGCACCAGUCAAAAGCAGUCCUACUAAGCGCAAUUGAGAUGGUUUGGGAUGAGUUGGACUGCAGAGUGAAGGAAAAUCAGCCAACAAGUGCUCAGCAUAUGUGAGAACUCAUUCAAGACUGUUGGAAAAGCAUUCUAGGUGAAGCUGGUUGAGAGAAUGCCAAGAAGGUGAAAAGCUGUCAUCAAGGCAAAGGGUGGCUACUUAAACAAAUCAACAUAUAUUUUAGAUUUGUUUAACACUUUUUUGGUUACUACAUGAUUCCAUAUGUAUUUUUUCAUAGUUGUGAUGUCUUCACUAUUAUUCUACAAUUUAGAAAAUAGUACAAACAAAGAAAAACCCUAUAAUGAGUAGGUGUGUCCAAACUGUUGACUGGUACUGUAUAUCUUUUUUUUAUUUGCAAAAUAAAUUAUUAGGUAUUGUGAGGAAAAACAUGUAUUUAAUCAAUUUGAGAAUAAGGCUGUAAUGUAACAAAAUGUGGCAAAAGUCAAGGGGUUUGAAUACUUUCCGAAUGCUGACUAUUUGUCAAAGCAUACCAUAACAGUAAUAUCACAAGCAUAUAGUUACUGUGCUACAUUUUAUGAGAAUGUAUUGCCUUUUGAUUAUGUUGUUUACCUUGAGGUGCAAAAGCUAAGACUUGCAAAGCAAAAAGCAUGGGCUAAGCCUACUGAUGCUUAAACUACAUAAGCAUUACAUAACAGGAAACUCUUGAAUAUGAAACAAAUGUUCUGUUUUCCAAGCGCACACAGCUUUCAAAUUUCCAUUAUCAAUAAUGAGUGGCAUUAUGUGAUAUGGGGAGAAAUGUAAUCAUUUUGCUGUAGUCUGAGUCAACUAAUGGAAAAUAUCCACAAGCGUAUCAGAAGAAGUCUAUUUGCUGUACGUGGCACUUGUGAGUGUGUUUUGUACAGUCGUGUUUUGAUUUCAUUAAUGUUGGAAGUCAAUGAUAACUGUUAUGUGGAAAGCCAUCAUUCACAUACAGCUUUCUGCUGCACUUUUCUAUAUACUUUCUGAUACAGUAUCACCACCUGUUUCCACUCCCCUUCUUCAUCUAAAGAACAUGUUGUUCCCUUAAUUCGUAUAAUAACAUAGAAUACAAAGUACACAUUUAUCCUUUGGAAUGUCAUUAAUCCUCUAAAAGUCAAAGCCAAGGGACGGGGGGACCCCUUUAGGUCUAACAAAAACGAAUAUUAAAAGAUUAUUUAAUAAAAUAUUGAAUUUGGCCUUUACUGCUAUAGCCCAUAGAAAUGCAUUCAAUAACACAUUUAUGAAUGGCAAAAAAAGACUGCAUAAAAAAUCAUAAGGAAUAAGGUUUUGAAACUACCUCCAUAUAUUUCCAUUCAUUUGUAUGAGUUACCUUCAGACGAGUCCCAUGACACUUGUGGGGGUCGUCGAGCAAAACGGAGGAAACCAUCAUAGUAUGUAGGCCAAACGGUUCGGACGCUACAGACGUUUUCGUGGUCUGACGAACACAUAUCUGAUUAAUUAGUCUUCUAAUUAAUCAGAUAUUUUAAUAUUUGAUCAAUUAGUCUUCUAAUUAUGUCACACGCCCUGGUUUUAGUAUUUUGUGUUUUCUUUAUUAUUUUGGUCAGGCCAGGGUGUGACAUGGGUUAUUUAUGUGGUGUGUUUUGUCUUUGGGUUUUUGUAGGUUAUGGGAUUGUGGUAUAGUAUAGUAGUCUAGGAAAAUCUAUGGUUGCCUGGAGUGGUUCUCAAUCAAAGGCAGGUGUUUAUCGUUGUCUCUGAUUGGGAACCAUAUUUAGGUAGCCAUAUUCUUUGAGUGUUUCGUGGGUGAUUGUUCCUGUCUCUGUGUUUGUUUGCACCAGAUAGGGCUGUUUUGGGUUUUCAUGGUUUUUGUAUGCUGUUUGUAUUUUUCAACUUUAUUAAAGAUGUUUACAAAUAA
ensembl:lncRNA